rnacentral:rRNA from 1 species
AAUAGGACCCUGUCCUCCUAUUUUCAGUUGGUUUUGGCAGCGCGAGGACUAGGGUAAUGAUUAAUAGGGAUAGUUGGGGGCAUUAAUAUUUAAUUGUCAGAGGUGAAAUUCUUGGAUUUAUGAAAGAUUAACUUCUGCGAAAGCAUCUGCCAAGGAUGUUUUCAUUAAUCAAGAACGAAAGUUAGGGGAUCGAAGACGAUCAGAUACCGUCGUAGUCUUAACCAUAAACGAUGCCGACCAGCGAUUAGGAGACGUUGAAUACAAAACACCACCAUCGGCGCGGUCGUCCUUGGCGUGUCUCGGCUUCACGGCCGGGGCGCGCGAGGGCGGUUUAGCCCGGUGGCACC